GGCCCAAACUCAAAGUAGAGUAGUUCAGUAGGGGCAGAUGAUCCUUCUUAUCUACUCUUCUUUCAAAUUGGGCCC
rnacentral:pre_miRNA from 1 species